rnacentral:rRNA from 1 species
UAACGAAUCUUCCGCAAUGGGCGCAAGCCUGACGGAGCAAUGCCGCGUGUGGGAUGAAGCGUCUCUGACGUGUAAACCACUGUCAGGGGUUAGAAACAAUGAUCAACCCCCAAAGGAAGUGGCGACUAACUCUGUGCCAGCAGUCGCGGUAAUACAGAGGCCACAAGCGUUAGUCGGAAUCACUGGGCUUAAAGGGUGCGUAGGCUGGUCCGCAAGCGUCUUGUGAAAGCCCUCGGCUCAACCGAGGAACAGCAGGGCGAACUGCGGAUCUUGAGGCAGGUAGGGGUCGCGAGAACAGUAGGUGGAGCGGUGAAAUGCGUAGAUAUCUACUGGAAUGCCGAUGGUGAAGACGCGCGACUGGGCCUGUCCUGACGCUGAGGCACGAAAGCGUGGGGAGCAAACAGGAUUAGAUACCCACGUAGUCCCUGAGCGGGCUGGCAAGGCGCAU